AGCUUGCUGACAACUGAUGAGAGUGGCGCACGGGUGCGUAACGCGUGAGCAACCUGCCCAUAUCAGGGGGAUAGCCCGAAGAAAUUCGGAUUAAGACCGCAUAAGAAUACAGGAUGGCAUCAUCUAGUAUUUAAAUAUUUAUAGGAUAUGGAUGGGCUCGCGUGACAUUAGCUAGUUGGUAAGGUAACGGCUUACCAAGGCUACGAUGUCUAGGGGCUCUGAGAGGAGAAUCCCCCACACUGGUACUGAGACACGGACCAGACUCCUACGGGAGGCAGCAGUAAGGAAUAUUGGUCAAUGGAGGGAACUCUGAACCAGCCAUGCCGCGUGCAGGAUGACUGCCCUAUGGGUUGUAAACUGCUUUUGCCCAGGAAUAACCCUAUCUACGAGUAGAUAGCUGAAUGUACUGGGAGAAUAAGGAUCGGCUAACUCCGUGCCAGCAGCCGCGGUAAUACGGAGGAUCCGAGCGUUAUCCGGAUUUAUUGGGUUUAAAGGGUGCGUAGGUGGCCCAUUAAGUCAGUGGUGAAAGACGGCAGCUCAACUGUCGCAGUGCCUUUGAUACUGAUGGGCUUGAAUAUUGAUGAAGAUGGCGGAAUGAGACAAGUAGCGGUGAAAUGCAUAGAUAUGUCUCAGAACACCGAUUGCGAAGGCAGCUAUCUAAGCAAUGAUUGACGCUGAUGCACGAAAGCGUGGGGAUCAAACAGGAUUAGAUACCCUGGUAGUCCACGCCCUAAACGAUGAUAACUCGAUG
rnacentral:rRNA from 1 species